rnacentral:rRNA from 1 species
GACGAACGCUGGCGGCGUGCUUAACACAUGCAAGUCGAACGGAGAACGAGGGAGCUUGCUCCCUCCGGCUCAGUGGCGAAUGGGUGAGUAACACGUGAGUAAUUUGCCCCGAACUCUGGGAUAAGCGUUGGGGACGAAGUCUAAUACAGGAUAUGACGCGGGAGGGCAUCCUCUCCGCGUGGAAAGAACUUCGGUUCGGGAUGAGCCCGCGGCCUAACAGCUUGUUGGUGAGGUAACGGCUCGCCAAGGCGACGACGGGUAGACGGCCUGAGAGGGUGGCCAGCCACACGGAGACUGAGACACGGCCCAGCCUACUACAGGAGGCAACGGUGGAGAAGAUUGCACAGUAGGCGCAAGCCUGAUGCGACAACGCCGCGUGAGGUAAGACGGCCAUCGGGUUGUAAACCUCUGUUAGCAAAGAAGAAGCGAAAGUGACGGUACCUGCAGAAGAAGCACCGGCUAACUACGUG